rnacentral:sRNA from 1 species
CUUGGUCAUUUAGAGGAAGUAAAAGUCAUAACAAGGUUUCCGUAGGUGAACCUGCGGAAGGAUCAUUAAUAAUGCCCUCUGACGCAAGUCAUUGGGUUAGAUCUGCUCUCUUCGCAAGAAGAGGGUUUCCAUACACACCGUGAACUGUGGCUUCGACCAUCACAAACUGUUAGUAAUGAAUGUAAUAUCAUAACAAAAACAAAACUUUUAACAACGGAUCUCUUGGCUCUCGCAUCGAUGAAGAACGCAGCGAAAUGCGAUAAGUAAUGUGAAUUGCAGAAUUCAGUGAAUCAUCGAAUCUUUGAACGCACCUUGCGCCCUUUGGUAUUCCGAAGGGCAUGCCUGUUUGAGUGUCAUGAAACCUCACCCCACUUGGGUUUUUGCCUGAGCGGUGGUGUAUUGGGUGUUGCCUUGCUAAAGGCUCGCCUUAAAGACAUAAGCACCUUGGAUGUAAUACGUUUCAUCCUUCUGGGUGGCUGAUAACCCCACAUAUUCAUGAUCUGGCCUCAAAUCAGGUAGGGCUACCCGCUGAACUUAAGCAUAUCAAUAAGCGGAGGAAAAGAAACUAACUAGGAUUCCCUUAGUAACGGCGAGUGAACCGGGAUGAGCUCAAAUUUAAAAUCUGGCGUCUUUCAGGCGUCCGAGUUGUAAUCUAUAGAGGCGUUUUCCGCGCCGGACCGCGUCCAAGUCUCUUGGAAUAGAGUAUCAAAGAGGGUGACAAUCCCGUACUUGACGCGACAACCGGUGCUCUGUGAUACGUUCUCAAUGAGUCGAGUUGUUUGGGAAU